rnacentral:rRNA from 1 species
GUAGGGUGCAAGCGUUAAUCGGAAUNACUGGGCGUAAAGCGUGCGCAGGCGGUUCUGUAAGACAGAUGUGAAAUCCCCGGGCUCAACCUGGGAACUGCAUNUGUGACUGUCCGACUCGAGUAUGUCAGAGGGGGGUGGAAUUCCAAGUGUAGCAGUGAAAUGCGUAGAUAUUUGGAAGAACACCGAUGGCGAAGGCAGCCCCCUGGGGCAAAACUGACGCUCAUGCACGAAAGUGUGGGUAUCAAACAGGAUUAGAUACCCUGGUAGUCCACACAGUAAACGAUGAUUACUAGGUGUUGGGGAACAUGGUUCUUCGGUGCCGCCGCAAACGCAGUAAGUAAUCCACCUGGGGAGU